CGUCAUCGGACUAGAGCCCACUCUGCCUUUGGUAGCGACAGUGGGCGGGACUAGUCAGUUUCCACGCCCCUGUCCACUCCCAUUGGCUGAAGGUCCCGGAAGUUUGCAGUAGCUUGUGAGUCAGCUGGUUGUCACCUGCCUCCGUCCCCCGCGGCUGUCACUUGUUCCCCGCCCCUCCCCGGGUGUCUGUCAUGGAUGAGAGCAGUCCGCUGUUGUCUCCGGUGCAGGACCACCCGGUGUCCCCGGUACCGCUUAGCCCCGCCGCCCGUCCGCACCUGGUGCCCGGGGUGGUGGUUCGGAUCCCGCAGAGUGCCCCCAUACCUUCCCCGCCCGGAUCCCCCACGGAGAGGGAGAGGCAGCCGCUCCUGGAGCGCUCCCAGCACCGGGACAGGAACUGCUUCCCGGAGGAGCCGGAGUUCGCGGAGGUGGUGAAGAGGGCAGAGCGGGCGAUCAGCCGAGGGAUCUUCCCGGAGAGGAUCUACCAGGGAUCCAGCGGGAGCUACUUCGUGAAGGACGAGCAGGAGGAAAUCAUUGCCGUCUUCAAGCCAAAAACAGAGGAGCCAUACGGUCAGCUGAACCCCAAGUGGACAAAGUGGCUGCAGAAGCUGUGCUGCCCCUGCUGUUUCGGGAGGGACUGUCUUGUUCUGAACCAAGGAUAUCUCUCCGAAGCCGGAGCCAGUUUAGUAGACCAAAAACUGGAGCUGAAUAUUGUCCCCCGCACUAGGGUUGUUUAUUUAGCCAGUGAAACUUUCAAUUACAGCGCUAUAGACCGGGUGAAGUCCAGGGGGAAGCGGCUUGCGCUGGAGAAAGUGCCAAAAGUCGGUCAACGGUUUAACCGGGUUGGAUUGCCUCCCAAGGUUGGCUCCUUCCAGCUGUUUGUGAAAGGCUAUAAGGAUGCAGAUUAUUGGCUACGGAGGUUUGAGGCGGAACCGCUUCCAGAAAAUACCAAUAGACAACUACAGCUACAGUUCGAGCGGCUGGUGGUUUUAGAUUACAUAAUCCGAAAUACAGAUCGGGGGAACGACAAUUGGCUGAUAAAGUACGACUAUCCCAUGGAGAACGCAGCGUCCAGGGAUUCAGAUUGGGUCUUGGUCAAAGAACCCAUCAUCAAGAUUGCCGCCAUAGACAAUGGGUUAGCCUUCCCCCUCAAGCAUCCCGAUUCCUGGAGAGCCUAUCCUUUCUACUGGGCCUGGUUACCACAAGCCAAAGUUCCGUUUUCCCAGGAGAUCAAAGAACUCAUCCUCCCAAAAAUCUCAGACCCCAAUUUUGUCAAAGAUUUGGAAGAAGAUCUCUAUGAGCUUUUUAAGAACCAUUGGCGACUGCAAUUAGGGAAGAAAAAGAUGUGGUUGACUUUAGAAUUAAAGAAAGAUCCAGGCUUUGACAGAGGACAGUUCCACAAGCAGAUCGCUGUUAUGAGGGGUCAGAUCCUUAACUUGGCUCAGGCACUUAAGGAUGAGAAGAGUCCCCUGCAGUUAGUCCAGACUCCUCCCGUGAUAGUGGAAACGGCGCGGUCCCAUCAGAAGAGCAGCAGCGAGUCCUACACACAGAGCUUCCAGAGCCGCAAGCCAUUCUUUUCCUGGUGGUAGUUACUGAAAAUUGUUCACUUCACCGGGAAAGGCCCAAAAAAAAAAAAGGUGUCAAUGUGCAGCUGUAAAGCCGCUUCUUGGACCUUUUUUAAAUGAGGAAAAAAAAAACUUUAUGGAAAACUGACGAAAGGAGAGAGAGAAGGUCUGGAUGAUGGGAGCACCGUAAUAAAUGACUGACUGACGGUCUCAGUGCCAUGGAAUGUACGUCCGGCCUAUUCCUGGGGCAUGCACGUGGCAUUGGGGACACUAUUCAGCACCGUGUGCAGUCACAAAAGAAGCCAACGUGAAGCUUUUCCCUAUAACUCUAUUACCGAAUCCAUCCAAGAAGUGUAAAAAACCUCUACACCACCCAAUAUUGUACUACGUCUAGCACCCGUGAUAUCUGGAACUUAUAGAUCCCUUGGAUCUGAAAGUCCACGGGUCACACCUGAAAUAACCUAGGCAUGCACGCUAAGAACGCAAUGAAAUAGCUAGAACUAAACUACCACGUAGGUAUUAAUUUUAACGUGUGCAUGUUGGAGACCACUGUUCUAGAUUAUUAAAACAGAAUACUGUACAGCCUGCCACCUAAUGGAUGCCAAGGGUAUCGCUAGAGAUGAGCGAACUUACAGUAAAUUCGAUUCGUCACGAACUUCUCAGCUCGGCGGUUGCUGACUUUUCCUGCAUAAACUAGUUCAGCUUUCCGGUGCUCCGGUGGGCUGGAAAAGGUGGAUACAGUCCUAGGAAAG